GGGGGCGUGGCUUAGCGGUAGAGCGCUUGCCUAGGCCACAGGGGGCGCUGGGUUCCAUCCCCAGCACCACCU
rnacentral:tRNA from 1 species